rnacentral:lncRNA from 1 species
CAUGAUACAAAAUUUUGGUAUCACAUUUGAUACUAUAAAAUUUUUCUCAACUAAAAACCAUUAACUUCUACUCCUACUAAAAGCAUGAAAAAAACAAACAAACACACAAAUGGAUUGAAGAGAGUCAUCUCUUUCACCAAUCAUUAUCAACUAAUAAUCUAACCACAAUAUAAUCAAAACAGGUAAGAAUAUCAAAUAAUCGAAUCUUCAAAACUGUUGCAAAAACAAUGUCUUAAAAUCUG